CCUACGGGUGGCUGCAGUGGGGAAUAUUGGACAAUGGGCGAAAGCCUGAUCCAGCCAUGCCGCGUGUGUGAAGAAGGCCUUCGGGUUGUAAAGCACUUUCAGUGGGGAAGAAAGCCUUGGGGCUAAUACCCUCGAGGAAGGACAUCACCCACAGAAGAAGCACCGGCUAACUCCGUGCCAGCAGCCGCGGUAAUACGGAGGGUGCGAGCGUUAAUCGGAAUUACUGGGCGUAAAGCGCGCGUAGGCGGUCUGAUAAGCCGGUUGUGAAAGCCCCGGGCUCAACCUGGGAACGGCAUCCGGAACUGUCAGGCUAGAGUGCAGGAGAGGAAGGUGGAAUUCCCGGUGUAGCGGUGAAAUGCGUAGAGAUCGGGAGGAAUACCAGUGGCGAAGGCGGCCUUCUGGACUUACACUGACGCUGAGGUGCGAAAGCGUGGGUAGCAAACAGGAUUAGAUACCCUAGUAGUC
rnacentral:rRNA from 1 species